rnacentral:rRNA from 1 species
UACAGAGGGGGGCAAGCGUUAUUCGGAAUUAUUGGGCGUAAAGGGCGCGUAGGCGGCCAUUCAAGUGACGGGUGAAAGCCCUCGGCUUAACCGAGGAACUGCCUGUCAGACUGGAUGGCUUGAGGUUGGGAGAGGGAUGCGGAAUUCCAGGUGUAGCGGUGAAAUGCGUAGAUAUCGGGAGGAACACCAGUGGCGAAGGCGACUACCUGGCCUGUUCUUGACGCUGAGGCGCGAAAGCUAAGGGGGAGCAAACAGGGAU